rnacentral:rRNA from 1 species
UACGGAGGGUGCAAGCGUUAAUCGGAAUUACUGGGCGUAAAGCGCACGCAGGCGGUUGGAUAAGUUAGAUGUGAAAGCCCCGGGCUCAACCUGGGAAUUGCAUCUGAAACUGGUUGGCUAGAGUCUUGUAGAGGGGGGUAGAAUUCCAUGUGUAGCGGUGAAAUGCGUAGAGAUGUGGAGGAAUACCGGUGGCGAAGGCGGCCCCCUGGACAAAGACUGACGCUCAGGUGCGAAAGCGUGGGGAGCAAACAGG